GUUGUGCUCAACACUUAACUGUGUGUGCGCACUCGUGUGUGUUGUUGAGACGCGGUUGAGAAUGUUAGUUCUGGUUAGUUUAAAUUACCGAGCUUUACUUACCCGCCCUGGUGCUCUUUACUGAGUGUCGAGGAGGGCCGGCACAUUUACUGUGCACAAAUUAGAGUGCUCAAGGCAGGCAAUUAUACGCCUAAAUAUUGGUGCAUGGAAUAAUAGAAGAAGACUGAGGUUUUAUUUUGUUGGUUUUUUAAACCUAAGGUAAUGAUCAAUAUGGACGGUCGGGGGCAUUCGUAUUGCGACGUUAGAGGUGAAAUUCUUGGAUCGUCGCAAGACGCACAAGAGCGAAAGCAUUUGCCAAGUACGCCCUAAUUGAUCAAGAACGAAAGUUAGAUGCUCGAAGGCGAUCAGAUACCGCCCUAGUUCUAACCAUAAACGAUGUCAGCUAGCGAUCCGUCGGAGUUUAUAUCAUGACUCGACGGGCAGCUUCCGGGAAACCAAAGCUUUUGGGUUCCGGGGGAAGUAUGGUUGCAAAGCUGAAACUUAAAGGAAUUGACGGAAGGGCACUACCAGAAGUGGAGCUUGCGGUUCAAUUUGACUCAACACGGGAAACCUCACCAGGCC
rnacentral:rRNA from 1 species